GCGAGAAUAUUCGACAAUGGACGAAAGUCUGAUCGAGCGACGCCGCGUGUACGAUGAAGUUUUUCGGAAUGUAAAGUACUUUUAUGAGGGAAGAACGUUGACGGUACCUCAUGAAUAAGUGGUUGCUAACUCUGUGCCAGCAGCAGCGGUAAUACAGAGACCACAAGCGUUAUCCGGAAUUAUUGGGCGUAAAGGGUGAGUAGGUGGUAUUGUUAGUCGGGUUUGAAAGAUCGUGGGCUCAACCCAUGAUAUGGACCCGAAACGGCAAAACUAGAAUAUGUAAGAGGUUAGUGGAACUAUAUGUGUAGGGGUAAAAUCCGUUGAUAUAUAUGGGAACACCUAAAGCGAAGGCAGCUAACUGGUACAUUAUUGACACUGAAUCACGAAAGCGUGGGUAGCGAUACGGAUUAGAUACCCAUGUAGUCCCUGAGCGGGCUGGCAAGGCGCAU
rnacentral:rRNA from 1 species